AGUGUCAGUACAUAGUGCUGCUCUAGUAGUGCAGGUUUAAAAAAACUUUCACUCCUAUCAGAGUGCUCAAGUGUUUAUUAGGAUUAUAUUUACAAUGCCAGGAGGUGACUUUUUCAUUGUGAUGCUUCUUCUUUGGACAUUUGUUGGCAGUGGGGUUGAUGGUGAGAGAGUAACAGGAGUGUUACACGGGCGAGUGGAGCUUCGAGGACGCUAUGGACACAGUCAAGAUGUGCACAGUGUGGAAUGGGCUAAAUAUCCAGAUAAACAUUCAACAAGGAAAUUCUUAUAUCUGUUUAAUAAGUCAAACAAUACUACAUGCCUAGAGGUCCGCCAAAAUAUUCAUUUUAAUUUACAGAAUGAGUAUUAUUUUGUUUAAUUUGACAACAGAAGAUGAAGGCAUUUAUGAGGAGAAAACCACAUUUAAAAAUAAGACCAUUAAAUAUUUUAAUGUCACGCUAUCCUUGCUGUGUGAGUAUCAUAUUUCACCUGUACUUCUUUUACUGCAUAUGAUUAAGAUUCUUGGCAGCUGGCUUGUCUAUUAUAAACAUACUUUUGUAUUUUGAUUAUGUCUUCGGGUCCAACUUCUCCAGUUGCAUCACACAUCACUGUGUCUUCUUCUCCUGGCUCUCUGACCCUGAAGUGUGAGAUCAAUGGGAAGUUUAAGCUGCUGCGAUGGUUCAGAAAUGGCCUUCCACUGCUAGACGACCAGAGAUUCUCACUCACUGACAACAAGAUGACCAUGCAGGUGUCCAACCUGACCAGUUCAGACUGUGGCACAUAUACCUGUCAAGUUUCAAAUGAAAAUGGAAAAUCAGAGGCGCAAAUCGACAUCAGCAGUACAGUUCCUGACUUUUGUGAAGAUUCUCACUCAUCAGUCUCCUUGUUUUGUGUUUAAUCUACAUUUGCAAAUAUUAUGAACCUGUGUACAAUGAGAGCACAUUUCUUCAGGAAGAAGUUGCUUACCCAACUGUGGACCCUUUGUAAAUUUUCUAUCAAGACUUCAUAAAGCCAAAAAAUUCCUAUCAGUCUG